UCUGCACCAAACUUCACAUAUUUCUGGCUUGAAGACUUCUACAUGCCAAUAUUCAGUUAUAGUCAUAGUGCCAUCUGCUGCCAACAGGAAGUGACAUGUUUUUCACUGAUGUAUUUCAAGCAAAAUAUAAAAAUAUGCCAGCAAAUUCUAAACAUGCUAGCAACACUUAGCUAUGUGCUUAAGCGUGUUAUUACUGCUAUUAAACAGGAAGUUGUUAUAACUCAAACAUACAAAGCCUAAUCUUCCCAAAAUAUGUUUGAUAUGAAUCAUAGCCGGAAGUGCUGCCCACAGGAAACAGGAAGUGACGUUUGCACUAACUCAGUCAUAAUGUUCAAUCUGCAACAAACUUCACAUGUUCGAUACAAAUCCUGGCAUGAAGACAUCUACAUGCCAAUAUUAAGUUAAAGUAAUAGCACGACCUCCUGGCAACAGGAUGUGCCAUGUUUUACACUGUGAUGCACUCCUAUCAACAUAUUAAAUUAUGCCAGCAAGAUGUUAGAAACAUCUUACACCCGUGCUCCAGUGCCUGGAGGAGGCAGCCUGUUGCAGCAACUCUAAUCUUUUUUGGUUAAGUUUAGUAUAUUUUCCUUGUUCUACCCUAAUCUUCAUUGUUGUGUAUGCUGAUGGUAAAUGGCACACUUAUAUAGCGCUUUUAUCCAAAGUGCUUUACACUGUGUCUCAUUCACCCAUUCAUACACACACACCAAUGGUAGCAGAGCUGCCAUGCAAGGCGCUAACUUGCCAUCGGGAGCAACUUGGGGUUCAGCGUCUUGCCCAAGGACACUUCGGCAUGUGGAGUCAUGCGGGCUGGGAAUCGAACCGCCAACCCUACAAUUAGCAGACAACCCGCUCUACCAACUGAGCCACAGCCGCCCGAUACGGAUAUGGAUAUGCAAUUGUGAAGUAGGUGCAUAAACAAACUCCAGUUAGUCCAGAAUGCAGCUUCUAGAGUCCUACCUAGAACCAGAAGGUACGACAACAUCACCCUGAUCUUAUCAACACUACAUCGGCUCCCAGUAAAAUCACACAUUAAUUAUAAAAUACUAUUAUUGACUUAUAAGGCACUAAACGGUCUCGCACCACAAUAUCUAAACGAACUUUUGGUUUUCUAUGAUCCGCCAUGCCUACUUAGAUCAAAAGGUGCAGGCUAUUUGAUGGUACCUCAAAUAGCGAAGGCUACACCAGGGGAAGAGAUUUCUUUUACAAAGCCCCACAGUUAUUAAUUGGAUUAGCCUUCCAAUUAAUGUUCGGGACUCAGACACAGUCUCAGUGUUUAAGUCUAGGCUUAAAAUGUAUUUGUUUACUCAAGCCUACCAUGAGUACUUUUUUCUGUUACGUAAUGCACAGUCUUAACAAUCUCUUCCUCUCUACUUCUGCCGAGCCACACACAAUUUUAUGGAGAUACUAGAGAUCCUGAUCUUUUCUGCUCUCUGGACCUGCCUGAUCCAUUCAGAUGCCCUACCUCUGGAUGGAGCUCUCAUCUACUCCAAUUCCAAAUGGACACAGUUGCUGUGGUUGCUGGGACUGCGGUCUGGGACUGGGACUGCAAUUACAGCAUGCAGUUUUGCACUUGGGUCUCCCUUGAUCAGUGGACUAGUUCAGCAAACAGACUUCAUAUUAAACCAUAAUGAACUUUCCUUGACGUUUACACUAUCCGUUGUUACCCAGAUGAAGAUGGGUUCCCUUCUGAGUCUGAUUCCUCUCAAGGUUUCUGCCUCUUAACAUCUUCGGGAGUUUUUCCUUGCCACCAUUGCCACCGGCUUGGUCAAUUGGGAUAAAUUCACACAUUUAAAAUCUGUAUCCCAUGUUUAUAUGUUUCUGUAAAGCUGCUUCGAGACAAUGUCCAUUGUAAAAUGUAGGGAUGCACUGAAAUGAAAAUUCUUGGCCGAAGUCGAAACUGAAUAUAAUGAAAAACUUGGCCGAAACCGAACAUGUUUUUUUGCGUUUUUUUCAUUUAUUUUGCCCUUUUUUUCACCAUUGCAUAAAUUAAAUAGUCAAAAUGUGCUUUUUACUAUUUUGUUUUGCUUUUCAAAGAAAAAAAUCAAUUUCAAAAUAUUUAUUUAAUACUAAACAUUUUUUUUUUAAUUCCAGCAGGCAUAGGCUACCAACAAGGCACAAUAUAACUUUAAAUAAAUAAAUGAGUAAAAUAAAAAUAUUUUUAUGUGGUCGUCUUUGAGCCCCCCUUGAAUAGCCUAUGUUAGGCCUAUAACUGACUGCUGAAAGAAUAUAAUACUCUGUAGCCUACAACAAAAAAGUGCAUUAAAAAGUGCAUUGACAAGAGUGCAAAAAAUGGUUCUAUUCGGUUAUAUACGGCUGAUUAUAUAGGGGAUAUGUAUCGCUCGCGUCCCUGUACACCUCGUGGAGCAUUAUAGUAGAUAUAGGAUUUGUCUGCCUGCCCUAAAAUAAAUACGUCUUUACCUGCUUCCGUACUCUACUCCCUUACGUCUCGUGACUUGACAGAAACAAAACAAACGCACAGUAAACAUCCGAAGAGCACGUAACUUAUGCACAUAGCUCGACCCCUCAUCGAGGUUGUGACAUUCGAGCGUCUCACUCUGGUUGGUAGGCUAUUUGGUCGAGUCAUCAAACACGUCGUUGUUUGGUCAAAUUUAUUCGGCCUUUUCACUUUUAACUUACACCAAAAAUGCUUUUUUUUUGCUAUUUUCGGCCGAAUAAUUUCGGUUGCUGAACAUUCGGUGCAUCCCUAGUAAAAAGCGCUAUACAAAUAAAUUGUAUUGAAAUUGUACUGCUCUGCACUGGGAGACCCAUUCAGCCGCGGCUCUAUUGUUUACACUAGGGAGCAGCUGUUAGCACUGAGCAACACCAGGAUUCUUCCUACAGAAAAACCGGUGAUCCCAAGGAAAUUAGGAGAAGGGGAAGCAGAGCUGGACUUUAAUGUCGGGAGAGAAAAAGACAGUACAAACCGUUCAUUCCGUCUGUUAUUAUGGGGAAUGUGAGAUCUCUCUCCAAUAAGAUGGAAGAACUAACGGCACUAACCAGGCUGCAGAAGGAGUACCGGGAGUGUAGCAUCAUGUGCUUCACGGAGACAUGGUUGGCCGAUCUCAGUACGGAUUCACUGGUUACACUGGAUGGAUUUCAACUUGUGAGAGCGGACAGGAGAGCAAAGGAGAGCCGUAAGAGGAAGAAUGGCGGAAUAGCGAUGUUUGUUAAUGAGAGAUGGUGUAACCCUGGGCAUAUCAGGGUUAAAGAGCAGUGGUGCACUAAGGAUAUUGAGUUGCUAGCAGUUAGCAUGUAGCCAUAUUACCUGCCAAGGGAGUUGUCGCACUUCAUCGUCUACAUCUACAAUUGUCUACAUCCUCCCCUCGGCUGAUGCUACAGCGGCAUGUGAUCUUCUACACACUAUUGUGUCACAGCUGCAGACAUUGCACCCACAGUUCGCCUGUCUACAUUUCAUUGGUGAAUAAACAUCCUCCAAUCACAAGGUAUGUGAAAAAAAUGGUCUGAGGAGACCAGUGAGGCACUAAGAGACGGUUUUGAGUCUACGGACUGGGAAAUGCUUUGUAGUUUGCAUGGGGAGGACAUUGACCGUCUCAGUCACUGUGUAACAGGCUACAUUAAGUGGUGGAGAACGCCGUGCCUAAGAAGAAGGUUCUGUGUUUUUCCAAAAAAAACCCUGGGUGACUCCUGAGCUCAAAGCUCUGCUAAAGGAAAAAAAAGAGACUGUUCGGAUUGGGGGACAAAGAAGAGCUGAGGAGGGUUCAGAAACAGCUCAGAGGGGAGAUAAGCAAAGGAAAAGACAGCUACAGAAAAAAAGUUGGUGGAGGAGAACAACAGGGAGGUCUGGAGGGGACUGAAAACAAUCUCAGGUCAGAACAAAGACAGUGGGAGGG